UGCCUCUUUCAAAGGGAAGCAAGAGUCUCAUAGGGAAGGAGAUCUUGCACAGACCAAUCCCAAUCAGGAAGAGAGUCUUGUUGUCAAUGAAAGCUAUUUUUCUAUGUCACAUAUCUGCCUAUCUCGUGUUGGGAGCUAUAAAGUACCCACCAGGGGGGUGGACCAAGAAAGAGGCAGGCGAUUGGGUCCUUCCCAUCCUCUUUCUUUCACCCUUGCUGAUUAGCGAAGUGAGCAUACUCAAGAUCCAAUUCAUCAAUCAUUUGAGUUGGUACGAACAUAGGAAUCCAGACUCCGCUUGAUUCGAUCUUCAGUUUCGACCUUCAUCAUUCAGGAAAAAGAAGAAGGACCCACUUAUUUCACUCGGAG
rnacentral:lncRNA from 1 species